UAGGGGAAUCUUCCAACAAUGGGCGAAAGCCUGAUGGAGCAACGCCGCGUGUGUGAUGAAGGGUUUCGGCUCGUAAAACACUGUUGUAAGAGAAGAAUGACAUUGAGAGUAACUGUUCAAUGUGUGACGGUAUCUUACCAGAAAGGAACGGCUAAAUACGUGCCAG
rnacentral:rRNA from 1 species